rnacentral:rRNA from 1 species
GAGGCAGUCAAAGUAGGCAAAUCCGCUUUGAUAAUGCUGGGAUGUGAUGGGGAGCGAAAUUUAGUAGCGAAGUAGCUGAUUUCACACUGUCAAGAAAAGUCUCUAUCGAGGUUAAAGGUACCCGUACCGCAAACCGACACAGGUGGGUGAGGAGAGUAUCCUAAGGCCAGCGAGAGAACUGUUGUUAAGGAACUCGGCAAAAUGACCCCGUAACUUAGGGAUAAGGGGUGCCACCAUCAGGUGGCCGCAGAGAAUAGGCCCAAGCGACUGUUUACCAAAAACAUAGGUUUCUGCUAAGUCGCAAGACGAUGUAUAGGAGCUGACGCCUGCCCGGUGCUGGAA